UUUCCGUAGGUGAACCUGCGGAAGGAUCAUUAAAGAGAAUGUGCCCUUCGGGGUAGAUCUCCCACCCUUUGUUUAUAUUACCUUUGUUGCUUUGGCAGGCCCGUCUUCGGACCACCGGCUUCGGCUGGUCAGUGUUUGCCAGAGGACCCAAAACUCUUAUUAUUAAUGUCGUCUGAGUACUAUAUAAUAGUUAAAACUUUCAACAACGGAUCUCUUGGUUCUG
rnacentral:misc_RNA from 1 species